AUUGAACGCUGGCGGCAGGCCUAACACAUGCAAGUCGAGCGAGCGGCGGCCGGGUGAGUAAUGUAUGGGGACUGCCCGAUAGAGGGGGAUAACUACUGGAAAAGGUGGCUAAUACCGCAUACUAACGGAUAACCCAUAUGGGAUUAGCUAGUGGGCUGGGUAAAGGCUCACCUAGGCGACGAUCUCUAGCUGGUCUGAGAGGUGGAUCAGCCACAUUGGGACUGAGACACGGCCCAGACUCCGACGGAGGCAGCAGUGGGGAAUAUUGCACAAUGGGCUCAAGCCGGAUUCAGCCAUGCCGCGUGUAUGAAGAAGGCCUUAGGUUUGUAAAGUACUUUCAGCGGGGAGGCGUUACCCGCAGAAGAAGCACCGGCUAACUCCGUGCCAGCAGCCGCGGUAAUUC
rnacentral:rRNA from 1 species